rnacentral:rRNA from 1 species
GAUGAACGCUGGCGGCGUGCCUAAUACAUGCAAGUCGAGCGAACAGACGAGGAGCUUGCUCCUCUGACGUUAGCGGCGGACGGGUGAGUAACACGUGGAUAACCUACCUAUAAGACUGGGAUAACUUCGGGAAACCGGAGCUAAUACCGGAUAAUAUAUUGAACCGCAUGGUUCAAUAGUGAAAGACGGUUUUGCUGUCACUUAUAGAUGGAUCCGCGCCGCAUUAGCUAGUUGGUAAGGUAACGGCUACCAAGGCAACGAUGCGUAGCCGACCUGAGAGGGUGAGCGGCCAACCUGGAACUGAGACAGGGUCCAGACUCCUACGGGAGGCAGCAGUAGGGAAUUUUCCGAAAUGGGGAAAAGCAUGAGGGAAAAACGCCGCGUGAGGGAUGAAGGUUUUGGGAUAGAAAAACUCUGUUAUUAGGGAAAAAAAAAUGGGAAAGUAAAUAGGCACGUUUUGACGGUACCAAAUAAAAAAGCCACGGAUAACUAAGU